CUGGUUGAUCCUGCCAGUAGUCAUAUGCUUGUCUCAAAGAUUAAGCCAUGCAUGUCUAAGUACAAGCCUCAGUAAGGUGAAACCGCGAAUGGCUCAUUAAAUCACACCUAAUCUACUGGAAAGUUACAAGUUACUUGGAUAACUGAGGUAAUUCUUGAGCUAAUACAUGCGACAAAUCUCGACUCACGUAGAGAUGCUUUUAUUAUAUCAAAACCAAACGGCUUCGGCCGUAACAUUAGUGACUCUGAAUAACUUGUGGUUGAUCGUAUGGCCUUGUGCCUACGAAUUUUCCUUCGAAUGU
rnacentral:rRNA from 1 species